rnacentral:lncRNA from 1 species
GGGGGGGUAACUUCCUAUUAUUGGGUAUACGGGGAUGUGCCAAAAAUAUGGGUCAUAAUUUUGCGAGAUUUUAUAUAAAAAUGACCCUCCUUUUUAAGGACAUACUAUAUUAAAAUGCAUUUACGUUUGAUAACUGUAUAUUGAUUUGGGGUAUGUCAUCUACAUAUCAUAUAUAACGAUAACAUAUAUGUGCACCAAACGAUGUCAAUUCAUAUAUAAAAACUUAAGGGUAGCUGGUAUAUUUAUGAAUUAUGAGUGAUGAUGAGUUAGUGCUUAUAUAAGCAUGGGUCAUAUUUUAAAUAUUGUAUAUAAGUAUAGGUCAUUCUUUCUUAAAUAUUUAUAUAACUAUAGGUACUGAAUUUCAGUGAAUGUUAUAUUAAAAUGGGUACGUUUUUUGAGGCAAAAAUGGCACACCCCUACCAAAAAAAUAUCGAAGUUACCCCCCCGUGAUG